rnacentral:rRNA from 1 species
GAAUUAAAGCUCCGGCGGUUAAAGAUAAGCAUGCGGGACAUUAGCUAGUUGGUAAGUGUAACGGCUUACCAAGGCGACGAUGUCUAGGGGGUUUGAGAGGAUGAUCCCCCACACUAGUACUGAGACACGGACCAGACUCCUACGGGAGGCAGCAGUGAGGAAUAUUGGGCAAUGGGCGCAAGCCUGACCCAGCCAUGCCGCGUGCAGGAUGAAGGUCCUAUGGAUCGUAAACUGCUUUUGUAUGGGAAGAACUUCCCGCAUUCGUGCGGGAUUGACGGUACUAUACGAAUAAGGACCGGCUAACUCCGUGCCAGCAGCCGCGGUAAUACGGAGGGUCCAAGCGUUAUCCGGAUUCACUGGGUUUAAAGGGUGCGUAGGUGGAACGAUAAGUCGAUGGUGAAAGCCUACAGCUUAACUGUAGAAUUGCCAUUGAUACUGUUGUUCUUGAGUAUAGUCGGGGGAAGUGGAAUGCGUAAUGUAGCGGUGAAAUGCAUAGAUAUUACGCAGAACACCGAUCGCGAAAGCAGCUUCCUAGGCUAUUACUGACACUGAGGCACGAAAGCGUGGGGAGCGAACAGGAUUAGAUACCCUGGUAGUCCACGCCGUAAACGAUGCUCACUCGCUGUUGGCGAUAUAUUGUCAGCAGUUAAGCUAAAGCAUUAAGUGAGCCACCUGGGAAGUACGUCCGCAAGGAUGAAACUCAAAGGAAUUGACGGGGGCCCGCACAACCGGUGGAACAUGUGGUUCAAUUCGAUGAUACGCGAGGAACCUUACCUGGGCUUAAAUGUAGUUUGACUUCCGCCGAAAGGCGGUUUUCCUUCGGGACAAAUUACAAGGUGCUGCACGGCUGUCGUCAGCUCGUGCCGUGAGGUAUCGGGUUAAGUCCCUUAACGAGCGCAACCCCUAUUGUUAGUUACCAACAGGUUAAGCUGGGGACUCUAGCAAAACUGCCAGCGUAAGCUGGAGGAAGGUGGGGAUGACGUCAAGUCAGCAUGGCCCUUAUGUCCAGGGCUACACACGUGUUACAAUGGCCGAUACAAAGGGCAGCCACC